rnacentral:rRNA from 1 species
CAGUCGAGAAUCUUGCACAAUGCGCGAAAGCGUGAUGCAGCGACGCCGCGUGAAGGAUGAAGGCCCUUGGGUCGUAAACUUCUUUUAUCGGGGAAGAAUAAAUGACGGUACCCGAUGAAUAAGCCACGGCUAACUACGUGCCAGCAGCCGCGGUAAUACGUAGGUGGCAAGCGUUGUCCGGAUUUACUGGGCGUAAAGAGUAUGUAGGCGGACAUUUAAGUAGAAAGUGAAAGGCUCGAGCUUAACUCGGACACUGCUUUCUAUACUGGAUGUCUUGAGUGCCGGAGAGGAAAGCGGAACGACACGUGUAGCGGUGAAAUGCGUUGAUAUGUGUCGGAACACCAAUGGCGAAGGCAGCUUUCUGGACGGAGCCGCAAGGCUUAAAACUGACGCUGAGAUACGAAAGCGUGGGUAGCGAACAGGAUUAGA